rnacentral:miRNA from 1 species
CACUCCUCCUGGUGCUGACA